UAACAGAUGCUCCUAUUCCAGCACAUCUUCAGUGUGUCGACAUGAGAGUUGUUCAGGUUUCCGUCGUCGUGCCGACAUUUGGCCUUUUAUUCUAUGCUCAAGAACCGAACAAGGAUGUAUGCUAUGGCGACGAUGGUGGAGCAGUGGUGUACAACGGCAUGAUUUAUGGUGUGAUUUCUUUUGGUGUAGCACACUAUGCAUGUCAGAGUCACGCUGCAGUCACGGAUGUGUGUGAAUAUCUGGGGUGGAUAAAAUCUACAACUGGGCUUAUUUAAACAUAAACUAUCAUGAAAUAAAAUUCUCAUCAAAUUUCCUCUCACAAAUAAUUUUAUAAUUGUAUCUUCAUCUUUUUGAUGCACAUGUUUGUAGAAUUAGAAUAAAUUAAUUUUGUUUUAUUUUUCUCACUUGAUCUUGACCUCCCUAAUGGAGCUUUCUCUGCCUCAGAAAGGCAAAAUAAAUCAAUAAAUGCAUGAAAAAGAAACAUUUCCUGGCUGAUCGUCUUUACAUUCAUGGUUCAGUUUGUUCACUUGAUAUUUUCCCUGAACUCAGUCUGAAAACGUGACAAGUUUUAAAUCACAUGAAGAGGAACACCAGAAGUAAUUUAUUUAUUCUUUUUUUUUCUUCUCACUGGCAAGAACUUUAUAUAUGUGUCACAUGCAGAUGAAGUAAAGAUGAACACAAUGAGAUGCUGAUUAUUCUAGACUCUUUUACCAGGGGAACCAAGACAAAAUGACAAAAAUAUAAAUUGAAUUAGACAGAGUAUUUAU